rnacentral:rRNA from 1 species
UUGAACGCUGGCGGAAUGCUUUACACAUGCAAGUCGAGCGGCAGCGCGGGGCAACCUGGCGGCGAGCGGCGAACGGGUGAGUAAUGCAUCGGAACGUACCCAGUCGUGGGGGAUAACUACGCGAAAGCGUAGCUAAUACCGCAUACGCCCUGAGGGGGAAAGCGGGGGACCUUCGGGCCUCGCGCGAUUGGAGCGGCUGAUGUCGGAUUAGCUAGUUGGUGGGGUAAAGGCCUACCAAGGCGACGAUCCGUAGCUGGUCUGAGAGGAUGAUCAGCCACACUGGGACUGAGACACGGCCCAGACUCCUACGGGAGGCAGCAGUGGGGAAUUUUGGACAAUGGGCGCAAGCCUGAUCCAGCCAUGCCGCGUGAGUGAAGAAGGCCUUCGGGUUGUAAAGCUCUUUCGGCGGGGAAGAAAUCGCAUUCUCUAAUACAGGAUGUGGAUGACGGUACCCGAAUAAGAAGCACCGGCUAACUACGU